CCCAAAUUGAAAUAACAAAAUCGCCCCCAAAUCCCAUGGAAGAACACUUUCCAUCAUAAAAACAUUUCUAAAUCAAUGGAAGAAUGCAAAAUCGCCCUCAAAUCCCAUGAACCCUAAGAAUUGCGCCCCAAAAUAUAUUUCUUCUAUACAACAACUUCUUCUAUGGUGAAAGUUCACAGACGCAUUGGAUGACCCUAAUUUUAAAUUGUUGGCUGCAUCAUAUCCGUAUUUUCCUUAAAGGGUUUGAAUUAAGUGGGUUAGAUACUUUGUUUAAUAACAUCAACUGAAUGCUUGUGAUGCAAAGACUGGAAAUUUGAAUAUCAUCAUUGCAAGGUUUGUUUUCUAUUUCUCUUAAUCAAUACAAUUUUUUAUUUUUUUAUUUUUCUUUAACAUGUGGAUUAGAUUAUAGUCCCAUCUGUGUUGAGUUUGUAAAAAUCUUGGUACUUUGCUUUAUGUAGAACAAUUUGUUUAUUGAGUAGAGUAAUAUAAUAAAAUGAAGGUCUGAUUUGCCUUGUCAAAUCCAUCACAAAAGAAUAAAACUAAACAAAUUCCAAGUUUGAAAUACUAAAUUCCAGCAGGGAGUUUGAUUUAUUUGUGAAAUGAUUUAUAUCUUGAUUUAUUUGUGAAAUGAUUUAUAUCUUGACAUCUUGAUUGCGAGUUCUUAAUUAAAUUUUGUUCUUAUUUGCAGGGUGGUUUUCCUUCGGUUGAACAAAUUGGAACGUCACUGAGGCAAUUAUCCUUGGCGUUUCUUUGUCCUGAACAUCUUGAUUAAUUGAUAUACAUUCAUGAUUGUUGUAGGAAAAAUUGUCUUUGCUAUUAGUGCCACGACAUUAACAUUUUCCCUGUAUUGUAGUGGGAAAAAUUGGCGGCUUGUGUUGAAUGUGUAUUGCAACUAUAAUUGAAUGGAAUGGAAUUUAAUCCUUC
rnacentral:lncRNA from 1 species